rnacentral:rRNA from 1 species
GGUGGACCUGUUGUGGCGCCAGCCGCAUUGCAGGGUAGCUAAGUACGGACGGGAUAACCGCUGAAUGCAUCUAAGCGGGAAACCCACCUCGAAACGAGUACUCCCUUGAGAGCCGUGGAAGACGACCACGUUGAUAGGCCGGGUGUGUAAGUGCGGUAACGCAUUGAGCUGACCGGUCCUAAUAGCUCGAUCGACUUGAUUGC